rnacentral:rRNA from 1 species
CAAUAGCGUAUACUAAUGUUGUUGCAGUUAAAAAGCACGUAGUUGAACUUCUGGUAGGAGUGUCCCGGCCUUUUUGUUUUUACAAAUUGUAUGCUGUGUGACAUCUCUGGCCAUCCUUCUUCUUUGUUUAAAGAAGAUCUUUCACUGUAAAAAAAUUAGGGUGUUCAAAGCAAAAGUUUCUUUGGAAUAUAUUAGUAUGGGAUGAUAAGAUAGGCUCUAGAUGCUAUUUUGUUGGUUUGCACAUUUAGAGAAUGAUUAACAGGGACAGUUGGGGGUAUUCGUAUUUACAUGUCAGAGGUGAAAUUCUUGGAUUUUGGAAAGACGAACUACUGCGAAAGCAUUUACCAAGGAUGUUUUCAUUAA